GAUGAACGCUGGCGGCGUGCUUAACACAUGCAAGUCGAACGGGAAACCUUUUAUUGCAGCUUCGGCAGAUUUAGCUGGUUUCUAGUGGCGGACGGGUGAGUAACGCGUGGGUAACCUGCCAUAUACAGGGGGAUAACAGUCAGAAAUGGCUGCUAAUACCGCAUAAGCGCACAGAGCUGCAUGGCUCAGUGUGAAAAACUCCGGUGGUAUAAGAUGGACCCGCGUUGGAUUAGCUGGUUGGUGGGGGAACGGCCCACCAAGGCGACGAUCCAUAGCCGGCCUGAGAGGGGGACCGGCACCAUUGAGACAGAGACCCGGCCCGGACUCCCCGGGGAGGGAGCAGGGGGGAAGAUGCCACAAGGGGGGAAACCCGGAGGCAGCGAGGCCGGGGAAAGGAGGAAUUAGCCCGGAAGAAAAACUUCUAUCAGCAGGGAAGUAAAGACGGGAACCUACCAAAGAACCCCGGGCAAACUCCGG
rnacentral:rRNA from 1 species